rnacentral:rRNA from 1 species
UACGGAGGGUGCAAGCGUUGUCCGGAUUUAUUGGGCGUAAAGAGCUCGUAGGCGGCUUGUCGCGUCGAAUGUGAAAACUUGGGGCUCAACUCCAAGCUUGCAUUCGAUACGGGCAGGCUAGAGUUCGGUAGGGGAGACUGGAAUUCCUGGUGUAGCGGUGAAAUGCGCAGAUAUCAGGAGGAACACCUGCGGCGAAGGCGGGUUGCUGGGCUGACACUGACGCUGAGGCGCGAAAGCUAGGGGAGCGAACGGG